rnacentral:rRNA from 1 species
GACGAACCGUGCGAACGUUGUUCGGAAUCACUGGGCUUAAAGGGCGCGUAGGCGGGCUCACAAGUCAGGGGUGAAAUCCCACGGCUCAACCGUGGAAGUGCCUUUGAUACUGUGGGGCUUGGGGGAGGUAGGGGCGUGCGGAACUUCCGGUGGAGCGGUGAAAUGCGUAGAUAUCGGAAGGAACACCGGUGGCGAAAGCGGCGCGCUGGACCUCUACUGACGCUGAGGCGCGAAAGCCAGGGGAGCAAACGGG